GACAACGACCAUAUCACACUGCAAAAAACCGAUUCUCGUCCGAUCAUCGAAGUUAAACAGUGUUGAGCGUGGUUAGUACUUGGAUGGGUGACCGCCUGGGAACACCACGUGUUGUUGUCA